rnacentral:rRNA from 1 species
GAGCGUGCCUUUUGUAGAAUGAACCGGCGAGUUACGAUAUGAUGCGAGGUUAAGUUGAAGAGACGGAGCCGUAGGGAAACCGAGUCUUAAUAGGGCGCAUUAGUAUCAUGUCGUAGACCCGAAACCAUGUGACCUACCCAUGAGCAGGUUGAAGGUGAGGUAAAACUCACUGGAGGACCGAACCAGGGCACGUUGAAAAGUGCUUGGAUGACUUGUGGGUAGCGGAGAAAUUCCAAACGAACUUGGAGAUAGCUGGUUCUCUCCGAAAUAGCUUUAGGGCUAGCGUCGAUGUUAAGUCUCUUGGAGGUAGAGCACUGUUUGGGUGAGGGGUCCAUCCCGGAUUACCAAUCUCAGAUAAACUCCGAAUGCCAACGAGAUAUAAUCGGCAGUCAGACUGCGAGUGCUAAGAUCCGUAGUCGAAAGGGAAACAGCCCAGACCACCAGCUAAGGUCCCAAAAUAUAUGUUAAGUGGAAAAGGAUGUGGGGUUGCACAGACAACUAGGAUGUUAGCUUAGAAGCAGCUAUUCAUUCAAAGAGUGCGUAAUAGCUCACUAGUCGAGUGACCCUGCGCCGAAAAUGUACCGGGGCUAAAACAUAUUACCGAAGCUGUGGAUACCUUUAUAGGUAUGGUAGGAGAGCGUUCUAUGUGCGAAGAAGGUGUACCGUGAGGAGUGCUGGAGCGCAUAGAAGUGAGAAUGCCGGUAUGAGUAGCGAAAGACAGGUGAGAAUCCUGUCCACCGUAAGACUAAGGUUUCCAGGGGAAGGCUCGUCCGCCCUGGGUUAGUCGGGACCUAAGGAGAGACCGAAAGGUGUAUCCGAUGGACAACAGGUUGAUAUUCCUGUACUAGAGUAUAUAGUGAUGGAGGGACGCAGUAGGCUAACUAAACCAGACGAUUGGAAGUGUCUGGCCAAGCAGUGAGGUGUGAUAUGAGUCAAAUGCUUAUAUCUAUAACAUUGAGCUGUGAUGGGGAGCGAAGUUUAGUAGCGAAGUUAGUGAUGUCACACUGCCAAGAAAAGCUUCUAGCGUUAAUUAUACUCUACCCGUACCGCAAACCGACACAGGUAGUCGAGGCGAGUAGCCUCAGGUGAGCGAGAGAACUCUCGUUAAGGAACUCGGCAAAAUGGCCCCGUAACUUCGGGAGAAGGGGCGCUGACUUAUGGUCAGCCGCAGUGAAUAGGCCCAAGCAACUGUUUAUCAAAAACACAGCUCUCUGCUAAAUCGUAAGAUGAUGUAUAGGGGGUGACGCCUGCCCGGUGCUGGAAGGUUAAGAGGAGUGCUUAGCAAUAGCGAAGGUAUGAAUUGAAGCCCCAGUAAACGGCGGCCGUAACUAUAACGGUCCUAAGGUAGCGAAAUUCCUUGUCGGGUAAGUUCCGACCCGCACGAAAGGCGUAAUGAUUUGGGCACUGUCUCAACGAGAGACUCGGUGAAAUUUUAGUACCUGUGAAGAUGCAGGUUACCCGCGACAGGACGGAAAGACCCCAUGGAGCUUUACUGCAGUUUGAUAUUGAGUAUCUGUACCACAUGUACAGGAUAGGUAGGAGCCUAUGACCUCGGGACGCCAGUUUCGAGUGAGGCGUUGUUGGGAUACUACCCUUGUGUUAUGGCUACUCUAACCCAGAUAGGUUAUCCCUAUCGGAGACAGUGUCUGACGGGCAGUUUGACUGGGGCGGUCGCCUCCUAAAAGGUAACGGAGGCGCCCAAAGGUUCCCUCAGAAUGGUUGGAAAUCAUUCGCAGAGUGUAAAGGUAUAAGGGAGCUUGACUGCGAGAGCUACAACUCGAGCAGGGACGAAAGUCGGGCUUAGUGAUCCGG